UACGAGGGGGGGCGAGCGUUGUUCGGAAUUACUGGGUGUAAAGCGUGCGCAGGCGGUUUUGUAAGCCAGAUGUGAAAUCCCCGGGCUUAACCUGGGAAUGGCAUUUGGGACUGCAAGGCUGGAGUGCGGCAGAGGAGACUGGAAUUCCUGGUGUAGCAGUGAAAUGCGCAGAUAUCAGGAGGAACACCAAUAGCGAAGGCAGCUCGCUGGGACGGUACUGAGCUAAGGCGCGAAAGCGUGGGGAGCGAACAGGA
rnacentral:rRNA from 1 species